AUGCACCACACGGCCUUCUUGAAGCCCGCUUCUGUCACAUCUGCAACAAGGAGGAGCCCACCCUGCCAGCAGCCAAGCUGCAGGGUUGGUACCUCGCUGCUUUCCUGUAGUGCCGAUGAGCCAUGGUGUCGGUCAAAUGGUGUUCAAAAUAUAAAUGUCGGAGCUGCUACCUCAUUUGCAGCGAUUAAUUUCCCAGUGCUUCUCAUUGAUGAUUUCAGUACACCGGAAAAGAACCAAUCAUUCUCUAACGAGAGACGAAGAAUCAGGAGUACAAAUGGAGAGAAGAAGCAUUUAGGAAAGGCUUCCCUUGCUUACUAA
rnacentral:rRNA from 1 species